rnacentral:lncRNA from 1 species
GAUGCCGGACCAAGUUUUAAAUGGAAGAAGGAGAAGAGGGGAAGAGAAGGAGGAGGAAGAAGAGAAGAAGGAGAAGGGAGGAGAAGAGAAGAAGAGGAGACGUGGGGGAAAGAAAUCUUUAAUUCUUCAUUAAACCCUAAUCAUGAAAAUAGUUUCCUAUAUAUAGGGCCCAAAUACACAAUUUGCAUAAACCCCCUUACACAGAAAUAAAUCCUAAUAAACCCACAAAUAACACAAAUAAGCCCUAAAAUGCAAAUAAGCCCAGAAAUAA